UAUUGGACAAUGGGCGAAAGCCUGAUCCAGCCAUGCCGCGUGUGUGAAGAAGGUCUUCGGAUUGUAAAGCACUUUAAGUUGGGAGGAAGGGGUUGAAGCUAAUACCUUCAAUCUUUGACGUUACCAACAGAAUAAGCACCGGCUAACUCUGUUCCACCAGCCGCGGUAAUACAGAGGGUGCAAGUGUUAAUCGGAAUUACUGGGCGUAAAGCGCGCGUAGGUGGUUUGUUAAGUUAGAAGUGAAAGCCCCGGGCUCAACCUGGGAACUGCUUUCAAAACUGGCAAGCUAGAGUAUGGCAGAGGGUGGUGGAAUUUCCUGUGUAGCGGUGAAAUGCGUAGAUAUAGGAAGGAACACAAGUGGCGAAGGCGACUACCUGGACGAAAACUGACGCUGAGGCACGAAAGCUAGGGGAGCAAAC
rnacentral:rRNA from 1 species